rnacentral:rRNA from 1 species
UACGGGGGGGGCAAGCGUUGUUCGGAAUUACUGGGCGUAAAGGGUGCGUAGGCGGCGCGGUAAGUCGGGUGUGAAAUCUCGGAGCUUAACUCCGAAACUGCAUUCGAUACUGCCGUGCUUGAGGACUGGAGAGGAGACUGGAAUUUACGGUGUAGCGGUGAAAUGCGUAGAUAUCGUAAGGAAGACCAGUGGCGAAGGCGGGUCUCUGGACAGUUCCUGACGCAGAGGCACGAAGGUCAGGGGAGCAAACGGG